GAUGAACGCUGGCGGCGUGCCUAAUACAUGCAAGUCGAGCGAACAGACGAGGAGCUUGCUCCUCUGACGUUAGCGGCGGACGGGUGAGUAACACGUGGAUAACCUACCUAUAAGACUGGGAUAACUUCGGGAAACCGGAGCUAAUACCGGAUAAUAUAUUGAACCGCAUGGUUCAAUAGUGAAAGACGGUUUUGCUGUCACUUAUAGAUGGAUCCGCGCCGCAUUAGCUAGUUGGUAAGGUAACGGCUUACCAAGGCGACGAUGCGUAGCCGACCUGAGAGGGUGAUCGGCCACACUGGAACUGAGACACGGUCCAGACUCCUACGGGAGGCAGCAGUAGGGAAUCUUCCGCAAUGGGCGAAAGCCUGACGGAGCACCGCCGCGUGAGUGAUGAAGGUCUUCGGAUCGUAAAACUCUGUUAUUAGGGAAGAACAAAUGUGUAAGUAACUAUGCACGUCUUGACGGUACCUAAUCAGAAAGCCACGGCUAACUACGUG
rnacentral:rRNA from 1 species